rnacentral:rRNA from 1 species
CCGGCGACCGGCGCACGGGUGAGUAACACGUAUGCAACCUGCCCGUCUCAGGGGGAUAAUCGUCGGAAACGGCGUCUAAUACCCCGUAUGAAGCUGGACGGCAUCGUCUGGUUUUGAAAGAAUAUCGGAGACGGAUGGGCAUGCGGCGCAUUAGCUAGUUGGCGGGGUAACGGCCCACCAAGGCGACGAUGCGUAGGGGUUCUGAGAGGAAGGUCCCCCACACUGGUACUGAGACACGGCCCAGACUCCUACGGAAGGCAGCAG